GAUAGAUGGGGAGUUAGCAGUGCCCUGUAACCUGCAAUCUGCUACAGCAGGAUCGAACAGUUGCCUCGGUGUGAAUUGGGUGAAAAUGUGUAAAGAUGGCUGAUGUUGAAGUCAAGGUCUUAUGCAAUUUGCUCCUUCGAACCGUGUCAGGUCCUGACGGAAGCAUCACUAAGAAGAUAAGUAGAUGUGCCAUGAGGAAACUUUGGUGGAGUUAGAUGU
rnacentral:SRP_RNA from 1 species